AAGUGUAUAUAUACAUCAUAUACACAUGCACCUCCACAUUUUGCUAGGUGCAAGCAAGCAAGAAAUAGUUCAUCUAUACAAAAGUAUACGCCUAUUAUUAAAAAAAAAAAAAAAAAAAAAAACCGAGCCCGUUUACUUCAGUACUCGUCGAGCAUAUACACAUCACUCACAAAAUUCUCCGUUUCCCACAAGAAAGAACCGAAAUCUCGAUAAGAUUCACCGCCUCAAUAGACUUCGGUUUUGCACACAUCUGAAUCAUCUCUUGGUCGAACCCCAUCACGUAAAAUCUCAAACUCUCCUGCGAUAUUUGGCCCACACGAAAAAAUGUCGGAAACAGGAAGUUGACUUUGAUUUUGACCUAGACCUUGACCACCAGUACUGAAGUUGGAAGUGCUCGUGUUUAAGACCCGCUCGAGGAAACGUCUCAAAGAAGCGGACUUCAGAAAGUAUCCGUACAAGAUAGAAGCAGCGUAUAAUCGGCAGAGGCGAAGCCUUUGUAUCUUGGUUGUGACCCAAGUGUCGGUGACGUUAGCGUUACCCCUGCAUUGACAUUGCUAUUUUUCGACAUAGACAAGGAAUUUCACAGGUGUAAAUUGUGUAAUCACCUGCAAAUGAAAAUUUUCAUAGGUGUUAAAUGCU
rnacentral:lncRNA from 1 species